UCCUGGUGGCUCAGAUGGUAAAGAAUCUGCCUGAAAUGCAGGAGACCCAGGUUCAAUCCCUGGGUUAGGAA
rnacentral:tRNA from 1 species